rnacentral:rRNA from 1 species
UUUAUGGAGAGUUUGAUCCUGGCUCAGGAUGAACGCUGGCGGCGUGCCUAAUACAUGCAAGUCGAGCGAACGGACGAGAAGCUUGCUUCUCUGAUGUUAGCGGCGGACGGGUGAGUAACACGUGGAUAACCUACCUAUAAGACUGGGAUAACUUCGGGAAACCGGAGCUAAUACCAGAUAAUAUUUUGAACCGCAUGGUUCAAAAGU